rnacentral:rRNA from 1 species
CCUACGGGAGGCAGCAGUCGAGAAUCAUUCACAAUGGGGGAAACCCUGAUGGUGCGACGCCGCGUGGGGGAAUGAAGGUCUUCGGAUUGUAAACCCCUGUCAUGUGGGAGCAAAUUAAAAAGAUAGUACCACAAGAGGAAGAGACGGCUAACUCUGUGCCAGCAGCCGCGGUAAUACAGAGGUCUCAAGCGUUGUUCGGAAUCACUGGGCGUAAAGCGUGCGUAGGCUGUUUCGUAAGUCGUGUGUGAAAGGUGCGGGCUCAACCCGCGGACGGCACAUGAUACUGCGAGACUAGAGUAAUGGAGGGGGAACCGGAAUUCUCGGGGUAGCAGUGAAAUGCGUAGAUAUCGAGAGGAACACUCGUGGCGAAGGCGGGUUCCUGGACAUUAACUGACGCUGAGGCACGAAGGCCAGGGGAGCGAAAGGGAUUAGAUACCCCGGUAGUC